CUCAAAAUGGUUAAAUAACUUUAAAGCCAUCAUUAUAUUUCCAUUCCUACAGUUUCACACUACUUCUUAGCUAACUACUGCAAAUGGGAACAAUUACAUAUUUUUUGCUUUUUCUCACAAUAACAAUUUGUGCCGUAAACUCAUACUAUUUGGAUAGUAAUGGUCAACCAGUUGUGAAACGGUUAUGUGUAAGGCCAAUGAAAGAUGCACUUAUCAUCCAGUAUUAAAGCGAGAAAGAUGUGUAAUGAAAAAUAAUAAGGGGCCAUUAACUUUAAGUGAAAUUGAAAUGUUGAUUGUGUGAAUUGAAUUAUAUACAUAAUAAGAAUGUUUUAUUAUUAACAAAUAUUAAAAUAAUUGCAUUUGCAGCAACUUCGAUUGUGGCAACUAAAA